GAAUUGGACCGGGUACCUGGAAUGGAAAUAAAGCGACCCCCGGGCCUUAAAAACUCCCCGGUGGGGCCCAAGCUAAACCCCCCCGGGUUAAUACCCGGAAAGGGGUUCCCAAAAGCCGGUUUAACCUUCCGGGAAAUCCAACCUUGGGGGCCGGUUAAAAAAGCCGCCAAUGUUAAAGGCCCGGGUUUUGUUUUAAAGUUAGAAAAUGAAAACCCUUACCGGGCUCAAACCCGUGGAACAGCCUUCUAAAACCUGGAUAAACCUAAGAGUCUUGGGAAGAAGGGAAAGAUGGAAAUUAGUAGUUUAGGGGGUAAAAUCCCGUAGAGAUUACUAGGAAUACCCGAAACGAAGGCGAUCUUCUGGAACAGGGACUGAGGCUGAGAUGCGAAAGGCGUGGGGAGCAAACAGGAUUAGAUACCCUGGUAGUCCACGCCUAAACGAUGAAUGUUAGUCGUUGGAGUGCUAGCCACUUCAGUGAUGCAGCUAACGCAUUAAACAUUCCGCCUGGGGAGUACGGCCGCAAGGUUAAAACUCAAAGGAAUAGACGGGGACCCGCACAAGUGGUGGAGCAUGUGGUUUAAUUCGAAGAUACGCGAAGAACCUUACCUGGCCUUGACAUAUACCAGAAUCUGCCAGAGAUGGUGGAGUGCCUUCGGGAGCUGGUAUACAGGUGCUGCACGGCUGUCGUCAGCUCGUGUCGUGAGAUGUUGGGUUAAGUCCCGCAACGAGCGCAACCCUCGUGACUAGUUACUAACAGCAUAGGCUGAGGACUCUAGUCAGACUGCCUUCGUAAGGAGGAGGAAGGUGAGGACGACGUCAAGUCAUCAUGGCCCCUUACGGCCAGGGCGACACACGUGCUACAAUGGGAAGGACAAAGAGAAGCAAAACUGUGAGGUGGAGCAAAUCUAUAAACCUUCUCUCAGUUCGGAUUGCAGUCUUGAAUUCGACUGCAUGAAGCUGGGAUCACUAGUUAUCGUGAAUCAGCCAUGUCACGGUGAAUUACGUUCCCGGGUCUUGUACCUUCACCGGCCCGUCACACCAUGGGAGUUGGAUUUUCACCCG
rnacentral:rRNA from 1 species